CUCCUCAUAGCCGGGCCAUGAUUCAUGCUUCCUUGCCCCUUUGGAAGCUGUCCUCCAAUAAGAGUUAGAGGCUGGGGGUAGGAGCGGAUAGAUUGAUAGUGUUGGCUGAGUGCCCAUGCUCUGAGUCUAUCUGUGCUGAAGGGGAGGAGACAGGGGGAAUCUAUCUGUUGUGCUCUCUGUGCUCAUGAUAAACUGACUCCCGUCAAGCUUCUUCCCCCUAUUACAGCUCGCCUGGCAGAAGAAAAAAAAAACCAAACUCCCUCUGACUUCCAACAUGUUUAAAAACAAUAAAAUGUGUGGAGAGAAGAAGCAAGUGAUUGAAACAGGGUAAUAACUCACAAGGUUAUGCUAUCCACAUUUCAGUGAAAACAUAAGUGGAGCAGGGCAACUGUUUGGGAACAAAGUGAGGAUAGCAUAUCUUCCCUGAUCUCCAACAAGUGUUCAAAACAGAACAAACUCAAAAGGGACACGAUGAACCCAGAUUUCACUUCAUCACAAAUGGGACCAUCGCCAGCAGAAAGAAUGCAAUGUCUGCCUCCCCCAUCCUGAAACUGUAAUUCCCACAGAGCUCCACAGUGAGAAAGAAAAUGAGUUUGAGGGAUUGUCUAUGACAUUAAUCCUCCCAAACACUACAGUUCCAGAUCCAAUACAGAGAGACAAACACGAAGCAAAUCAACAAUCUAUUUACUGCAGGAAAACCUAAACCAACAAACCAACCUCUUUGACUUUCGUCUGCUCUCAUUUGACCAGGACUUGCUCCCUAUGCUGAUUUUAUGGGACCCCUGCCUGCCAUCUUGGAUUCCCAUGAUUGUGCAGUUGUGGCGCCCCUGUUCUGCCACCCACGCUUCAGAUACCUUAUACACAUAACAAUGAAUGACCUGGAUCCUGAGACAUCUGGCUGACAGGUUCAACAUGACUGAAUUAAACAUCUCAUACUUUAAUAUAUAAGGAUCGCCUCAGGGAGACAGACCGACACAAACAGGAAGACAGGGUGACAACAAGCCCAUGGUUGCAGUCAGACGCUGGACUUCUGGGACGAGUCACAAUUAGAAUGCUAACCUCGAUUAAGAUAAUUUCUUAGACAAAACCUUAGUCUCCAUUGGUAUUUAUUCUUUGAAACCAUGCUAGUUCACUGUAGUAGUAUUCAUGUAUGUCAGGCCAAAUCACACUUUCCCUGCGCUGCAAGUUGUGGCUUUAUUUGUGGAGUAUUUUUAAGUAUUAAUAUGGCUGUAUGUGUAUUAAUGUUUAUGCACUCUGCAAUAUGUAGAUAGACUGCAUGAUCCGUGCUGCCGUGGUCAGUAAAGAGGGUGAGUGAGCAUAAAAACAAUGAGAGAGAGAGAGAGAGCAGUGAUGUUUGGCUGCACUUAAGAGAGCACUGCGUCCUCUAUUAAGAAUAAGAGUGAUAUUACUGCCACCUAGUGGUUGUUGUAGAGAACUGACUUGUGCUCAGUUGCACAGGAAGAUAGUACGAAAACAUAAACACAUAUAUGGUGUUAAUCCAUGCCAUAGUGGCAAAGUCCUGUUUUUAUGUGUGUUGAGUAUUAUGUUAUUUGCUAUAACGACAUGUAACAGUUAUUCAACAUGAUGAACUAGCAUAAUGAAAACUGUGAAAUUACAGACAAGACAGAAACAGGGACCCGGUGCAAUCAUUUCUGUAUCUUGUGCAAUCAGUCCUUCAAUAUCAAUAUUUUUUAAAACAGAUUUAAUUUUUUUUUUAGGUGGAAAUAAUGUGUAACAAAAUAAAGUAGA